ACACAAACACAUGCACACAUUCCAAUUAUCCCUCUACUAGCAUCAUCACAGACGAGAGAUGGAAAGUGAAGGGAAAUGGAGGGAGAGUAUGGAGAGCCUCAGAGAAGAAAGAGGAAGAUAAGAAGGCAAAGAAGGAGGAAGAGGCAUUCCAAAGGUAUGUCGCACAUACCUCAGCUUGGCCCAGUUCCAGGAGGUCUUUGGAAUCAAGUAACAGGUCUUCUUAAAGGAUCAAGCCCCUGGCCAGACCACUCUGUGAGUCGCCAUGGGGAUAAAAGAGCCCUUUAUUGGAGAUGGCACACAGGGGUCCUUCAUAAGGCCCACAUGGGCACUUAUAACAUCUGACAUAAGCAUUUGUGAGUGUGGUUACUGAUGCUUGUGGUUCCAUCACUGAUGGAGUCCAAUCUUAUGGGGUUAGAAGACUCGCUCUUACUCACUUUCUCUCCCCUGUCCACUGCCCUUCAACCAAGAGAAAGAGAAAUGGAGAAAGAAACAGACAGGGUAAACAUAGAACCAGAAGAAAGGGGAAAAUCAAAAUCUAGUGAUGCUGGACCAAAAACACACAGAAGCAGUUGGAAAAACACCAUGAACUUCAUAUAAAAGCUCUGAGGGGGCUGCUAAUCAUUGUUAGCCAGUGCUAUAUUAGUCUGCAUCAGAGGUGUUGGCUGACUUUAUUAAUGUGUUAUACAAAGCAACUCAUAUGGGUGUUGUCUGAUCCUGUGCUCCUGUCAGCAGGACGGCUUCUUUGUCUGCUGCUUUCCAAAUAAAAAUUGCCUGUGACUGUU